GAUACCCUGGUAGUCCACGCCGUAAACGAUGAUAACUAGCUGUCCGGGCACAUGGUGUUUGGGUGGCGCAGCUAACGCAUUAAGUUAUCCGCCUGGGGAGUACGGUCGCAAGAUUAAAACUCAAAGGAAUUGACGGGGGCCUGCACAAGCGGUGGAGCAUGUGGUUUAAUUCGAAGCAACGCGCAGAACCUUACCAGCUUUUGACAUCCCGGUCGCGGUUUCCAGAGAUGGAUUCCUUCAGUUCGGCUGGACCGGUGACAGGUGCUGCACGGCUGUCGUCAGCUCGUGUCGUGAGAUGUUGGGUUAAGUCCCGCAACGAGCGCAACCCUCGUCCUUAGUUGCCAUCAUUAAGUUGGGAACUCUAAGGAAACCGCCGGUGAUAAGCCGGAGGAAGGUGGGGAUGACGUCAAGUCCUCAUGGCCCUUACAAGCUGGGCUACACACGUGCUACAAUGGCGGUGACAGUGGGCAGCUAUCCCGCAAGGGUGAGCUAAUCUCUAAAAGCCGUCUCAGUUCGGAUUGUUCUCUGCAACUCGAGAGCAUGAAGGCGGAAUCGCUAGUAAUCGCGGAUCAGCAUGCCGCGGUGAAUACGUUCCCAGGCCUUGUACACACCGCCCGUCACGCCAUGGGAGUUGGUUUCACCUGAAGGUGGUGCGCUAACCCGCAAGGGAGGCAGCCAACCACGGUGGGAUCAGCGACUGGGGUG
rnacentral:rRNA from 1 species